rnacentral:rRNA from 1 species
CCUACGGGGGACAGCAGUGGGGAAUAUUGCACAAUGGGGGAAACCCUGAUGCAGCGACGCCGCGUGAGUGAAGACGGACUUCUUUAUGUAAAGCUCUAUCAGCAGGGAAGAAAAUCACGGUACCUGAGUAGGACUCCCCGGCUACCUCCGGGCCAGCAGCCGCGGUCAUACGUCGGGGGCAAGCGUUAUCCGGAUUUACUGGGGGUAAAGGGAGCGUAGACGGCGAGGUAAGCCUGCAGUGGAAGCCCGCGGCCCAACCGCGGAACUGCCGUGGGAACUGGUGUGCUGGAGUAUGGGAGGGGUAAGCGGAAUUCGUGGUGUAGCGGUGAAAUGCGUAGAUAUCAGGAGGAACACCGAUGGCGAAGGCGGCUUACCGGACCAUAACUGACGUUGAGGCACGAAAGCGUGGGGAGCGAACAGGAUUAGAUACCCUGGUAGUC